CCAGACUCCUACGGGAGGCAGCAGUGGGGAAUAUUGGGCAAUGGGCGCAAGCCUGACCCAGCAACGCCGCGUGAAGGAAGAAGGCUUUCGGGUUGUAAACUUCUUUUUUCAGGGACGAAGCAAGUGACGGUACCUGAGGAAUAAGUCACGGCUAACUACGUGCCAGCAGCCGCGGUAAUACGUAGGCGGCAAGCGUUAUCCGGAUUUACUGGGUGUAAAGGGCGUGUAGGCGGGGCUGCAAGUCAGAUGUGAAAACCACGGGCGCAACCGUUGGCCUGCAUUUGAAACUGUUUUUCUUGAGUGCUGGAGAGGCGAUCGGAAUUCCGUGUGUAGCGGUGAAAUGCGUAGAUAUACGGCGGAACACC
rnacentral:rRNA from 1 species